rnacentral:rRNA from 1 species
CAAAGAUUAAGCCAUGCAUGUCUAAGUAUAAGCAAUUAUACAGCGAAACUGCGAAUGGCUCAUUAAAUCAGUUAUCGUUUAUUUGAUAGUACCUUACUACUUGGAUAACCGUGGUAAUUCUAGAGCUAAUACAUGCUAAAAACCCCGACUCUCGGAGGGGUGUAUUUAUUAGAUUAAAAGCCAAUGCCCUCCGGGGCUCACUGGUGAUUCAUGAUAACUUGUCGAAUCGCAUGGCCUUGCGCCGGCGAUGGUUCAUUCAAAUUUCUGCCCUAUCAACUUUCGACGGCUGGGUCUUGGCCAGCCAUGGUGACAACGGGUAACGGAGGGUUAGGGCUCGACCCCGGAGAACGAGCCUGAGAAACGGCUAUUACAUCCAAGGAAGGCAGCAGGCGCGCAAAUUACCCAAUACCGACUCGGUGAGGUAGUGACGAUAAAUACUGAUACAGGGCUCUUUUGGGUCUUGUAAUUGGAAUGAGUACAAUUUAAAUCCCUAACGAGGAACAAUUNGAGGGCAAGUCUGGUGCCAGCAGCCGCGGUAAUUCCANCNCNNAUAGCGUAUAUUAAAGUUGUUGCAGUUAAAAAGCUCGUAGUUGAACCUUGGGCCUGGCUGGCCGGUCCGCCUCACCGCGUGCACUGGUCCGGCCGGGCCUUUCCCUCUGGGGAACCGCAUGCCAUUCACUUGGUGUGCCGGGGAACCAGGACUUUUACUUUGAAAAAAUUAGAGUGUUCAAAGCAGGCCUAUGCUCGAAUACAUUAGCAUGGAAUAAUAGAAUAGGACGUGUGGUUCUAUUUUGUUGGUUUCUAGGACCGCCGUAAUGAUUAAUAGGGACAGUCGGGGGCAUCAGUAUUCAAUUGUCAGAGGUGAAAUUCUUGGAUUUAUUGAAGACUAACUACUGCGAAAGCAUUUGCCAAGGAUGUUUUCAUUAAUCAGGAACGAAAGUUAGGGGAUCGAAGACGAUUAUCUGGUCGUCCACAGCGCUACGGCGUGGUGAGUCUGGUCCGCCACGGAGCAGUGCUAGUCCGCCUCGGGGCGGGCGACAUCGUCAAAUUGCGGGGACCUCCUAAAGGCCGUUGCUACACCUGCAGUCGGGAAACCUUCUGUAGUCGUUAAAACGCGCGGCAUGACGGGGCGGCAAGCCUCUGAAAUGGACAAUCCGCAGCCAAGCCCUAAAGCCGCUCCGGCGGCCAGGGGUGCAGUUCACANACUANACGGCGAUGGGGGCUUUUGAGACNNAAAGCUUNNAAGAUAUAGUCGAGCCAGCGCCGAAAGGCCCCUGGGAAGUUCAAAGCAGAUACCGUCGUAGUCUUAACCAUAAACUAUGCCGACUAGGGAUCGGACGAUGUUAUUUUUUGACUCGUUCGGCACCUUACACGAAAGUACAAGUUUCUGGGUUCUGGGGGGAGUAUGGUCGCAAGGCUGAAACUUAAAGAAAUUGACGGAAGGGCACCACCAGGGGUAAACCGCAGUUAACUCUGCCCCUGACAGCGGCUCCGCGAGGAGUAGUGGCGCGGCCCUCUUAUAAAAAUCCGCUAGUCUCUUUUAUCCAAAAGGGGCGAUACCCUCAAAGUGCGGGAAACCCUCCGAGGUGCCCACUCCCAAGCGGCCCCCGAAAGGGAGGCAGUGGCGGCGCGUAACUGCGGCCGGUACGGGAAGAACGUGGGCGCUAUGAGGCGACUCGCAGCCAAGCUCCCUCCGGGCGGACAGCCCCGGGAGAAGGUUCAGAGACUCGACGGGGNUGGGUUCCCGGGGACGGGAGCUUAAGAUAGAGUCCAUCCCCGCCGCGAGAGCGGCGGGAAGACCUCGAACAGAAGUGCUCGAGGCCAGGCCAGGGAGCCUGCGGCUUAAUUUGACUCAACACGGGGAAACUCACCAGGUCCAGACACAAUGAGGAUUGACAGAUUGAGAGCUCUUUCUUGAUUUUGUGGGUGGUGGUGCAUGGCCGUUCUUAGUUGGUGGAGUGAUUUGUCUGCUUAAUUGCGAUAACGAACGAGACCUUAACCUGCUAAAUAGCCCGUGUUGCUUUGGCAGCACGCUGGCUUCUUAGAGGGACUAUCGGCUCAAGCCGAUGGAAGUUUGAGGCAAUAACAGGUCUGUGAUGCCCUUAGAUGUUCUGGGCCGCACGCGCGUUACACUGACGGAGCCAGCGAGUACUUCCUUGGCCGAAAGGCCCGGGUAAUCUUGUUAAACUCCGUCGUGCUGGGGAUAGAGCAUUGCAAUUAUUGCUCUUCAACGAGGAAUCCCUAGUAAGCGUAAGUCAUCAACUUGCGCUGAUUACGUCCCUGCCCUUUGUACACACCGCCCGUCGCUACUACCGAUUGAAUGGCUCAGUGAGGCUUUCGGACUGGCCUAGAGAGGUGGGCAACUACCACUCGGGGCCGGAAAGUUAUCCAAACUCGGUCAUUUAGAGGAAGUAAAA